UACGUAGGGGGCAAGCGUUGUCCGGAAUUAUUGGGCGUAAAGAGCGUGUAGGCGGCCAGGUAGGUCUGCUGUGAAAACUCGAGGCUCAACCUCGAGAUGUCGGCGGAAACCAUCUGGCUAGAGUCCGGAAGAGGAAAGUGGAAUUCCCGGUGUAGCGGUGAAAUGCGCAGAUAUCGGGAAGAACACCCGUGGCGAAGGCGGCUUUCUGGGACGGUACUGACGCUGAGACGCGAAAGCGUGGGGAGCGAACAGG
rnacentral:rRNA from 1 species